UACGGGGGGGGGCAAGCGUUGUUCGGAAUUACUGGGCGUAAAGGGCUCGUAGGCGGCCAACUAAGUCAGACGUGAAAUCCCUCGGCUUAACCGGGGAACUGCAUCUGAUACUGGAUGGCUUGAGUUCGGGAGAGGGAUGCGGAAUUCCAGGUGUAGCGGUGAAAUGCGUAGAUAUCUGGAGGAACACCGGUGGCGAAGGCGGCAUCCUGGACCGACACUGACGCUGAGGAGCGAAAGCCAGGGGAGCAAAGCGGGG
rnacentral:rRNA from 1 species